rnacentral:rRNA from 1 species
GGCGAACGCUGGCGGCGUGCUUAACACAUGCAGGUCGAACGGUAAGGCCCUUCGGGGUACACGAGUGGCGAACGGGUGAGUAACACGGGGGUGAUCUGCCCUGCACUUUGGGAUAAGCCUGGGAAACUGGGUCUAAUACCGAAUAUACCCUGCUGGUCGCAUGGCCUGGUGGGGGAAAGCUUUUGCGGUGUGGGAUGGGCCCGCGGCCUAUCAGCUUGUUGGUGGGGUGAUGGCCUACCAAGGCGACGACGGGUGGCCGGCCUGAGAGGGGAACCGGCCACACUGGGACUGAGAUACGGCCCAGACUCCUACGGGAGGCAGCAGUGGGGAAUAUUGCACAAUGGGCGCAAGCCUGAUGCAGCGACGCCGCGUGAGGGAUGACGGCCUUCGGGUUGUAAACCUCUUUCAAUAGGGACGAAGCGUAAGUGACGGUACCUAUAGAAGAAGGACCGGCCAACUACGUGCCAGCCGCCGCAGUAA